UCGGAUAUGGUGUAGCGGCUAACAUGGCUGUCUUUCAACGUGCUUCGGGAGGUUGAGCACAGCAGCUCCGGGUUCGACUCCCGGUAUCCGAA
rfam:Pisolithus tinctorius Marx 270 unplaced genomic scaffold scaffold_38, whole genome shotgun sequence.